GAUGAAGAACGCAGCGAAAUGCGAUACUUGGUGUGAAUUGCAGAAUCCCGUGAACCAUCGAGUCUUUGAACGCAAGUUGCGCCCGAAGCCACUAGGCCGAGGGCACGCCUGCCUGGGCGUCACACGCCGUUGCCCCCCCAUCUACUCCUUCGGGAUUGCGGGGGGGCGGAUGAUGGCCUCCCGUGCGCCUAGCCGCGCGGUUGGCAUAAAUACCAAGUCCUCGGCGACGCACGCCACGACAAUCGGUGGUUGCGAAACCUCGGUUGCCCGUCGUGUGCGUUCGUCGCGCAUCNNNNGCUCGAAAAAAUGCUCGGCUCCGGCUGGGCUUUCAACGCGACCCCAGGUCAGGCGGGGUUACCCGCUGAAUUUAAGCAUAUCAAUAAGCGGAGGA
rnacentral:misc_RNA from 1 species